rnacentral:rRNA from 1 species
CCCUUAGAUGUUCUGGGCUGCACCCGUGCUACACUGGCAGGUUCAGCUAGCUUCAUGCCCUGAUCUGAAAGGAAUGGGAAAUCUUUUCAAAACCUGCCGUGCUUGGGAUAGAUGUUUGCAAUUAUUCAUCUUCAACGAGGAUUGCCUUGUAAGCGCACGUCAUCAGCGUGCAUUGAAUACGACCCUGUAUUCUGUACACACCGCCCGUCGCUCCUACCGAUUGAAGUUUUCGGUGAGUUGACAGGAGGAUUUUUUUGAAACUGGUUCGCCAGUGGAUUUUAGAUCCAAAUGCCAACGAAUCGAUGGCUUUAGAGGAAGGAGAAGUCGUAACA